UAUGGUAUAACUUAGUGGCAGACGGGUGAGUAAUGUAUAGGAAUCUACCUAGUAGUACGGAAUAAUUGUUGGAAACGGCAACUAAUACCGUAUACGCCCUACGGGGGAAAGAUUUAUUGCUAUUAGAUGAGCCUAUAUUAGAUUAGCUAGUUGGUAGGGUAAUAGCCUACCAAGGCAAUGAUCUAUAGCUGAUCUGAGAGGAUGAUCAGCCACACUGGAACUGAGAUACGGUCCAGACUCCUACGGGAGGCAGCAGUGGGGAAUAUUGGACAAUGGGCGAAAGCCUGAUCCAGCUAUGCCGCAUGAGUGAAGAAGGCCUUUGGGUUGUAAAGCUCUUUUAGUGAGGAAGAUAAUGACGGUACUCACAGAAGAAGUCCUGGCUAACUCCGUGCCAGCAGCCGCGGUAAUACGGAGAGGGCUAGCGUUAUUCGGAAUUAUU
rnacentral:rRNA from 1 species